GUGGGUAUCGCGAUAUGGGGAGUGUUAUGGGGAGUAUCGCGAUAUGGGGGGGUGUUGUGCGGGCAGGUGUUGUGAGCGGGUAUCGCGACAUGGUGGGCAUCGAGAGGUGAGUGUCGGGACACGGUGGGUGUCGCGAUGCGGUGGGAAUCGUCGUGGGGCUGGGGGUGGCUAUCGCGACAUGGCAGAUAUCGCGACACGGUGAGUAUCGCGGGGCAGUUGCUGGGUACCACAGAACAGAUGGCGUCAUGGUGCCGUGGCCUGGUGUCACGACAUAGUAGGUGUCACAACAUGCAGGGUAUCAUGACAUGCCAGGUGUCGUCAUAUGUCUGUUACCACAGCAUCGUGCUGUGUAUCACGACAUGCCAGGCAUCGUGACACACUGGGUAUUGCGGCAUGCCAGGUAUUGUAGCAUGUCAGAUGUUCUGCAGCAUGCCUGGUAUCGCGAUAUGCCAGGUAUCACGACAUGUUGGGUGUUGUGUCAGAUAUCCCGGAAUGUGCUGGGUAUUUCGAUGUACCAGCUGUCGUGAUAUGCUGGGUAUCGUGACAUGGAGGUGUCAUAACGUGUCAGAUGCCAUGCAGCAUGCUGGGUACCGUGAUGUGCCAGCUGUCGCGACAUGUUAGGUAUCACAACAUGCUGGCCAUCAAUGGCAGGUAUCAUACCCUGCAAUACAUAUCAUGACAUUCCAGGUAUCGUGACAUGCCAGGUGCCACACCAUUGGGUAUCGCGACAUGCCAGGCAUGGUGAGGUUCCAGGUGUCAUGACAUGCAGGGUGCCUUAACCUUGGGUAUCGCGACAUGGCGGGUAUGGUGAGAUUCUAGGUAUCGUGAUGUGCCAGGUGCCUUAAUGGGUAUCGCGACAUGCUGGGUAUCGUGACAUGCCAGGCAUGGUGAGAUUCCAGGUAUCAUGACACACCAGGUGCCAUAACACUGGGUUUCGUGACGUGCUGGUAUUGCGACAUGCCAAGUACUGUGAUGUGCUGGGUAUUGCGAUGUAGUGGAUAUCACGACAUGCCAGUGUUGCAACACGGCGGGUAUCGUGACACGGCGGUGGCGCUGGCGCUGGUGACGGUGACGUCGGUGCCGCUGCUGCGGGCUCUGGGUCGCCGCCUGCUCUCCAUGGCCGACACCGGCGCCGCCUUCGAGCCCGGCAGCGUCGUGGCCGCGUUUGUCACCUGCCCCAACCAGGGGGUGGCCACACAGCUGGCCAGGUGGGGACAC
rnacentral:lncRNA from 1 species